CUAAUACAUGCUGAAAACCCCAACUUCGGGAGGGGUGUAUUUAUUAGAUAAAAAACCAAUGCCCUUCGGGGCUCUUUGGUGAUUCAUGAUAACUUAACGGAUCGCAUGGCCUUGCGCCGGCGACGGUUCAUUCAAAUUUCUGCCCUAUCAACUUUCGAUGGUAAGGUAUUGGCUUACCAUGGUUUCAACGGGUAACGGGGAAUUAGGGUUCGAUUCCGGAGAGGGAGCCUGAGAAACGGCUACCACAUCCAAGGAAGGCAGCAGGCGCGCAAAUUACCCAAUCCCGACACGGGGAGGUAGUGACAAUAAAUACUGAUACAGGGCUCUUUUGGGUCUUGUAAUCGGAAUGAGUACAAUUUAAACCUCUUAACGAGGAACAAUUGGAGGGCAAGUCUGGUGCCAGCAGCCGCGGUAAUUCCAGCUCCAAUAGCGUAUAUUAAAGUUGUUGCAGUUAAAAAGCUCGUAGUUGAACCUUGGGCCUGGCUGGCUGGUCCGCCUCACCGCGUGUACUGGUCCGGCCGGGCCUUUCCUUCUGGAGAUCCCCAUGCCCUUUACUGGGUGUGUGGGGGAACCAGGACUUUUACUUUGAAAAAAUUAGAGUGUUCAAAGCAGGCCUUUGCUCGAAUACGUUAGCAUGGAAUAAUAGAAUAGGACGUGCGGUCCUAUUUUGUUGGUUUCUAGGAUCGCCGUAAUGAUUAAUAGGGAUAGUCGGGGGCAUCAGUAUUCAAUUGUCAGAGGUGAAAUUCUUGGAUUUAUUGAAGACUA
rnacentral:rRNA from 1 species